rnacentral:sRNA from 1 species
AAAGAGCAACUGAAAGCUGUUAUGGAUGAUUUCGCAGCUUUUGUAGAGAAGUGCUGCAAGGCUGACGAUAAGGAGACCUGCUUUGCCGAGGAGGGUAAAAAACUUGUUGCUGCAAGUCAAGCUGCCUUAGGCUUAUAACAUCACAUUUAAAAGCAUCUCAGAAUAUGAUGGAUCUACCUUCUGUGAACUUUAUAGUGAACAAUCUGCUAUUACAUUUCCAAUUCGUCAACAUGCUGAGCUUUAAUAGGACUUAUCUUCUUAUGACAACAUUUAUUGGUGUGUCCCCUUGCCUAGCCCAACAGAAGAAUUCAGCAGCCCCUACCAUGAGAAUAAGAGAAAGAAAAUGAAGAUCCAAAGCUUAUUCAUCUGUUUUUCUUUUUCGUUGGUGUAAAGCCAACACCCUGUCUAAAAAACAUAAAUUUCUUUAAUCAUUUUGCCUCUUUUC